CGUUUAUUUAAAUAAUAAAAUGUUCAGCACAUAUGUCACAAAAAUAUAAAAUCAACUUCUUCUCUCGUAAGAAGCUUCAUUUCUUUUUAAAACCAAUAAUCAUAUUAUCAGUUAUAUUUAUUAUUUAUCAAUUAAUAAUGUUUAUUCAAUUAACUAAAGACGUCAAUAAAGAAUUACCUUCACCUCCGAAUCUAGUUCUGGGCACACACCCGCUACAAAGCCAGUUUUAUACACCGCAAGAAGGUCAGUUCUCGUGUAUAACUAGUAAGGAGAAAAUCAGUUUUGAUUCCUUAAACGACAAUUAUUGCGAUUGUCUGGACGGAUCAGACGAACCCGGUACAAAUGCGUGCUCCAAUGGGCAGUUUUUUUGCACUGAACAGACAGACAGCUUUUAUCCAAAACUUGUACCGUCAACAAAAGUUAAUGAUGGCAUUUGCGAUUGUUGUGAUGGGUCUGACGAAUGGUUGCACAAAGUAUUACCUUUUAGAUUAAGUGAUGCUGUACAGGAUAAAUUAAAACGUUAUCAGUCACCAUGUUCAUAUAAAUGCAAUAAACAUAAGUAAUGAUUUUAUUAGUGUUUAAAUAUCAUAUUUAUUACAAAUUUUGCUGAGGCAGUAGUGUAAUGUUGAUCUAUACCUCACUACAGAAUUGAUAUUGAUUUGCUAAUGGCAAAUUUGACUAAUAUAUUUGUAAUAAGUACAAA